UACGUAGGGGGCAAGCGUUGUCCGGAUUUAUUGGGCGUAAAGCGCUCGCAGGUGGUUCGUCGCGUCGUGCGUGAAAGACCCCGGCUCAACUGGGGGAGGUCGUGCGAUACGGGCGGACUGGAGGCCAGUAGGGGGAUGCGGAAUUCCGGGUGUAGUGGUGGAAUGCGUAGAGAUCCGGAGGAACACCAGCGGCGAAGGCGGCAUCCUGGACCGACACUGACGCUGAGGCGCGAAAGCUAGGGGAGCAAACAGG
rnacentral:rRNA from 1 species